AGCGAACGCUGGCGGCAGGCUUAACACAUGCAAGUCGAGCGGGCGUAGCAAUACGUCAGCGGCAGACGGGUGAGUAACGCGUGGGAACAUACCUUUUGGUCCGGAACAACACAGGGAAACUUGUGCUAAUACCGGAUAAGCCCUUACGGGGAAAGAUUUAUCGCCGAAAGAUUGGCCCGCGUCUGAUUAGCUAGUUGGUGAGGUAACGGCUCACCAAGGCGACGAUCAGUAGCNGGUCUGAGAGGAUGAUCAGCCACAUUGGGACUGAGACACGGCCCAAACUCCUACGGGAGGCAGCAGUGGGGAAUAUUGGACAAUGGGCGCAAGCCUGAUCCAGCCAUGCCGCGUGAGUGAUGAAGGCCCUAGGGUUGUAAAGCUCUUUUGUGCGGGAAGAUAAUGACGGUACCGCAAGAAUAAGCCCCGGCUAACUUCGUGCCAGCAGCCGCAGUAAG
rnacentral:rRNA from 1 species